AUGCUUACUUGGCAGGGGCGAUACCAUGAUCACGAAGGUGGUUUCCCCAGGGUGAGGCUUACCCAUUGCACUCUGGGUAUGCGGACCCCUGUUAUUUCCCCAAAUGUGGGAAACUCAGCUGCAUAAUUUGUGGUAUUGGGGGACUGCGUUUGCGCUCUCCCCUG